UAAAAUAGUCUGCUUACUUACUUUUUACUUUUUACUCUCAUUUACAAAUUUCCCGAAGGUGGAAUAAAGUCUGAUUAGCCAUACACUUUUUUUAUUGCAUAUUGAAAUUGUGUCUGAUGCUGUAGAAUAGAAACUGCAUCAAUCCGGCAAUAAGCAAUCAUGUUCAAAGAACUUGUGUCGGCCAAAUUGAAGAUGGCUGAAGAGAAAAGAGAAUUGGAAGAAAGUGUCGCACGUUUGGAAGAAAGUGUCGCACGUGUCAACUUGGAGAAGCAGAACCUCAUUGAGCAGAACGAAUUAGUUGUGCAGAAACUCAUACAGGAAAAAAACGUCUUUAGAGAGCAGCUGGAAAAAGAGAAGCGGCUUACUAAAGGCUGCCUAAAUGAGCUGGGCCAUAUUAAGCGAUCUCAGAAAUUUUUCGAAUUGAGACUUUCUCAGAAAGAAAAAUAUUUGAAUGAUGUAUUCAAGAAGCUUCAAUGUGGAAUUUGUUCCGAGCUGAUGGUGUUUGCUACUUCCUUGAACUGUGGGCAUACCUUCUGUCAGCACUGUGUCAGAGAGUGGAAAAAGAAUGAGGUGGAAUGUUCAAUCUGUCGAGCCCCCAUAACUACAGAAGGAAGAAAUCCAUUCGUGGAUGAUGUGAUUGACGCCAUGGUCAGUUCGCUUUCAGAAGAAGCAAAGAACAGAAGAAAUGAGUUAGUUCUUAAACGUCAAGUACUUUUUCUUCAACGUCGCCGUUCAGUGUCACGGAGGAAGUGGUAAUUCUUUCAAGCGGAUCCGACUCAUCAAACGAAGAUAUUAUUGAUUUUGCAAAUCGCCGUCGCCAAACGGGAAGAAGACCUUGUCCUUCGUAUGGAAGGACAAAUACGUCACGACUCUGCGUCUACUGCUCGAGCUCGAGCUAACAUUUUUAAAUCGCGUCUAAACACGUCCGUGUGUUCUUAAUCUUUGUCUAUGAAGCACCAUGAAGUUGAUGACUGCCGCGAGCAAGAUUACAAAAUCCGCCAGUUUACGCGAAAUUUAGCAACAAUGUCUAGUAAGGCUUUUCUUCAUUCGUCACUAUAGUCCAUGACCUACAAGAAAUUUACUCGAAUCGCUGAGGCUCGUGAUUUCGCCAAGUACCUGUCUUACAAUUUUAGGGUUUUCGGUUGUUACGUCUGCAAGUGGAAAACAGUCACAAUGCAUCAUUACGAAAACCCGUAAACAGUACGAACGGACCAAGAGACUGUAUUUCAACAGAAAAGCACAAAUGGUAGAAUUGGUGAAGGAAUGCCUUGGUCAAGCAAAUUUGAAAGCAAAACCACUGCGCCGUCAGCCGUGUGAUUUUGUCCGUAACAGAUGAUGUUGUCUGUGUCGUCCCUCCACCUAAACGCCCCAAGCGCGACUUACUUCUAUAGUUGACACUUGACUUAUUAAAAAUUCUAUUUUUGUUUUUAACUUGAAAAAUUUUUGGUUUCUUUUCAUCUGAAUUCACGACACGUCCUAUUAUUUUAUUAUCAUUACCAUCGAGUGUAUACCAAGAAAUAAAAGAACCCCUGUUGCGAAGUUACUUUUUUUUUAAA
rnacentral:misc_RNA from 1 species